GACGAACGCUGGCGGCGUGCUUAACACAUGCAAGUCGAACGGUGAAGCGCCUUUCUUUUUGGUGGGUGUGGAUGAGUGGCGAACGGGUGAGUAACACGUGAGUAACCUGCCCCCUUCUUCUGGAUAACCGCAUGAAAGUGUGGCCAAUACGGGAUAUUCUGGGUCUGUCGCAUGGUGGGUCUGGGAAAGAUAUUGUUUCGGUGGGGGAUGGGCUCGCGGCCUAUCAGCUUGUUGGUGGGGUGAUGGCCUACCAAGGCGGUGACGGGUAGCCGGCCUGGGAGGGUGGACGGUCACACAGGGACUGAGACACGGCCCAGACUCCUACAGGAGGCAGCAGUGGGGAAUAUUGAACAGUGGGCGCAAGCCUAAUGCAGCGACGCCGCGUGAGGGAUGGAGGCCUUCGGGUUGUGAACCUCUUUCGCCAGUGAAGCAGGCCUGCCUCGUUUGUGGGUGGGUUGACGGUAGCUGGAGAAGAAGCGCCGGCUAACUACGUG
rnacentral:rRNA from 1 species